GCUCAGCAGAUCUAGGAGCACCAUGGCUGCUGCCUGCGUGCAUCAGCAGAGAAAUGAUCCAUCACACCACCCAAAUCAGGUUUAAACUCAAGUUGUGAGUCCCUUCUACUUAAGACUCCUGGUGGAUUCAACGGUGGUCUCAAUUGACAGUAUAGAAAUCUGCCAUAUCUCCUCUGCACAGUGCUAAUGCUGACUGGGCAGUUCUAGGCCUUCUCUGUGCCUGAAACUUUGCUGGACUUGCUGAGAAACACUGCCUGAACUGCCACAUAUGGGUACUCAUUCUCAUCAAGGGUCCUCACAUGGCUAUUCCAGCACACAAGAAUGCAUUCAGGAAGGAGCUGUGAUCAAAGCUUCCUGCUGAACUGAAAAUUGUAGACUCCAUGCAGGACCAAUGCACUGCUGCAUAGCAGUCCAUCUAGGGCGUGUGCUUGUGGAAGACUGAGGU
rnacentral:lncRNA from 1 species